UACGUAGGGGGCGAGCGUUGUCCGGAGUUACUGGGCGUAAAGCGCACGCAGGCGGUCUGCUAAGUUUGGAGUGACAGUUGGUGGCUUAACUGCCAAAGUGCUUCGAAAACUGACAGACUUGAGGGCUUCAGAGGGACACGGAAUCCGGGUGGAGUGGUGAAAUGCGUAGAGAUCCGGAGGAACACCAAAGGCGAAGGCAGUGUCCUGGGGAGUACCUGACGCUCAGGUGCGAAAGCCAGGGGAGCGAACGGG
rnacentral:rRNA from 1 species